GCCAUCGUAGUAUAGUGGUCAGUACUUCCGCUUGUGGAUUCAGAUCUUCGGAUCUAAAAACACGAUUCGCGGACAACAUUGGUUCGAUUCCAGUCGAUGGCA